rnacentral:sRNA from 1 species
GCCAGGCGUGGUGGCUCAUGCCUGUAAUUCCAGUGGCUUGGGAGGUUGAGGCAGGAGGAUCAUGAGUUCAAAGCUGGCCUUAGCAAAAGUGGGGUGCUAAGCAACUCAGUGAGACCCUGUCUCUA